rnacentral:rRNA from 1 species
ACGAACGCUGGCGGCGUGCUUAACACAUGCAAGUCGCACGGGCCUGUCUUCUUUUUUGGGGGGUGGGUUGAGUGGCGAACGGGUGAGUAUCACGUGAGUAACCUGCCCUUCGGUCCUGGAUAACCGCUUGAAAGGGCGGCUAAUACGGGGUGGUCCGGUUGGUCCGCAUGGGCUGGUCGGGAUAGAUUCACUGUUUUUGGUGUUUCGGCGGGGGAUGGGCUCGCGGCCUAUCAGCUUGUUGGUGGGGUGAUGGCCUACCAAGGCGGUGACGGGUAGCCGGCCUGAGAGGGUGGGCGGCCACACUGGGACUGAGAUACGGCCCAGACUCCUGCGGGAGGCAGCAGUGGGGGGUAUUGCACAAUGGGCGGAAGCCUGAUGCAGCGACGUCGCGUGAGGGAUGGAGGCCUUCGGGUUGUGAACCUCUGUUUCCGGUGGUGAAGGCCCUGUCCGUGUGGUGGGGUUGACGGUAGCCGGGGAUGAAGCGCCGGCUAACUACGUG